rnacentral:lncRNA from 1 species
AACUGUUAAGUUUGGCAGCUUUCUUUUAUUGGGUCUUAAAAAACGUAUAACGCUUGACAAGGAGUAAUAGCAGCGAGUAAUAGCAGCGGGUAAAAAGACAAAGCAAAAGCAAGAGCAUCGUGUUCAGAAUGUUUGAAGGCCAUCAGAGUAGUACAAUUUUUUUCUACAAAAUAGGGAAUUCAUGUCGCAAAGUGCUCCCUUGUUUUUCUGCGCAAGAAGCCCCUCAGGAGGAGGAAAUCUUGCAGUAGAAUCACCUGUUUUGUAGACAUAAGAAACUGAAAGUACGAGCACUCGUGUCGUAUAGUUUUGUUUUCCAAUUUCCUCGUUUCUUGGUCUUUCGGUUUACUUUAUUAAGGUUUUCUAAAUAACCAAAAAAGCAGCCUCGUGUUGCAAAUUUUUGAGAGUCAAAUUUCUGUUUUUCUCUCUUCAGUCUAAAUUUAAGGGGAAAAAAUAACGCCUCUAUCCCUUUGCCACCUUAUCAUUUGUUCCAAGGACAUAACCCUUCGUGUGUCUUUCUUACGAAAACGUCAAACUUAAAGUUGUGAAAUUCAUCAUUUGCAGCUUUCAUUAAUAUUCUUAAUCCUUACCUUUUUGUACGUCUUUGUUUGUUUUUUUACUGGAAAAAAAAUUAUCACGUAACCUCAAAGUUAUUAAGGAAAAUUAUCUUUGACUUGAAAAUGGCUCAAGAUCUAAUGAAGCAAGUUUUCAUGCUUAUCGCAAAGGUUUAAGUUUAGACGAAAGGAACUGUAAGUUAUACUGAUAUGUGUUAACCUUCACGGCCCCAAUUUUGAAUCAGAGCUUAUAAAAAAUCAUUUGAUAUGCCACCUGUUGUCUGUCUCAGUGAAGAUACCUGAGGUUCUUGCAGCAAGAGUGUGGUCAACGGUGGAAUUUUAAGAGCAAUUUUUAUUAGUUUGAACAAUUUAAAAGAUCAUUCUAAAUUGAAAAGCAGAAAACCGCAAAUAUUUCAAUAUCUUUAGAAGAUGAAUGGACUAUUCUCUAACGGUAGAAAAGAGCUCAUGAUUUAAAAGGCCAGUUUUUGAAACACCUUCGGGGAAUAUGAACCCUUAAAUUUUCUGGAAAACAACAACGAAAAAAGCCAAACCGUGACUUGUCUGGAAACAAAUCUACCUUGAAGGCGAACUAGUUUUAUCACGGACCUGUUUAAAGGAGGAAAACUCCUUCUCUCAUUCAUCGGUGGACAGUUAUAACAUCAAAAGGCGAACUAAAUGCAUCUACUUAAUAUUGAAUCUUUGAGCUAAAAAUGAUGAGGAUUACAUAAUCUUCAUUGCAUCUUAGUUAAUUGGCGUUCAUCACUGCUUUCCAGUUGGUGUUUGAGCCUCACACUCCUACUAAGGUACUUGUGCUGUGGUUUUAAUUACAAGACAUUCAACAGACACAGCACUUUUUUAUACAGUGAGAUGGAUGUUCAAGAGCAUUUUCUUUCCAACCCUUUGCCGACCACAUGUUUCCGAAGUGAAACUCCUUCUCGUGAUCAACAGGGUAGUCAGGAGACAACAUUCCAUGCAUCAUGAAAUACAUAUAAUUCCUUAGCACCUUUACGAACAUGCGUACAGAUGGGAGAAUGAUUCUUUUCAUGAUUUAUCCGUUUUGUAAAGUUUCUUCGCUGAUCAAUGAUAAGCUUUUGUCCGCAAAGAAAAUUUCGAGGAAAACUUUUUAUAUACAGCUUUCUAGCGUUGUUUUGACAAACAACUCUACUCGUUAUGACAAAAUGAAAAUACACAUUUUUAAGAACCUCUUAUGCAAUAUUUGGAUUUCCUGUUGCUUUCAUCAUCUAUUGGUCUUAGCAGACACUCGUCGUGGGUUUUAAUCAGAGCAACAACAACAAAUGUUUAUGAAAUUUGCUUCUUUAAAUGUGUACUCUAUGUAUAUGGUUGUUAUUAUUUCAGCUGUGUUUUCUUACCAGUCAAUAUCCAAUUAUAGAGAAAUUCUUCUGUUCUCCUCAGUUAA